AUAUGAAUCACUCGGGGACCUUGUUAGAAUGCAGAUUUUGAUUCAGUAGGUCUGGGUCUGGCCAGAGAUUCUGCAUUUCUAACAAGCUCCCAGGUGAUGCUGAU
rnacentral:pre_miRNA from 1 species